rnacentral:rRNA from 1 species
GAUGAACGCUGGCGGCGUGCCUAAUACAUGCAAGUCGAGCGAACGGACGAGAAGCUUGCUUCUCUGAUGUUAGCGGCGGACGGGUGAGUAACACGUGGAUAACCUACCUAUAAGACUGGGAUAACUUCGGGAAACCGGAGCUAAUACCGGAUAAUAUUUUGAACCGCAUGGUUCAAAAGUGAAAGACGGUCUUGCUGUCACUUGUAGAUGGAUCCGCGCUGCAUUAGCUAGUUGGUAAGGUAACGGCUUACCAAGGCAACGAUGCAUAGCCGACCUGAGAGGGUGAUCGGCCACCCUGGAACUGAGACACGGUCCAGACUCCUACGGGAGGCAGCAGUAGGGAAUCUUCCGCAAUGGGCGAAAGCCUGACGGAGCAACGCCGCGUGAGUGAUGAAGGUCUUCGGAUCGUAAAACUCUGUUAUUAGGGAAGAACAUAUGUGUAAGUAACUGUGCACAUCUUGACGGUACCUAAUCAGAAAGCCACGGCUAACUACGUG